GGAUUAUCCUCAAAUCGUUUUUAUAGCCCCCUUUCUACUUUGUUCGAGCAUACACCGUACAUUAUGCAUUUGCAUAUAGAUGGAGUGAUCUAGGAACUUUUGUAAAUUUUUUUCUCUUUGCUUGUUUUUCCUUCCUACGAAAGUUCUACCCCUUCGUUGCACUUUUCACUUCAGUGUCUUUUUCCAUAGAACAAAAUGUU